UAAACAAAAUAUCUCUAAAUUCCUUAAAAAGUAUUUAUUUUAAUACAAAUGAAGAUUCGGAAUCCAUGUUUUGGGCUUCACUCUGUCACAUUCCAUAUGGGAGUUCAAUGAAAGCGAACCCAGAAUUGAACAUAAAACAAAGCGUAUCUAUAUAUCUACAAGUUUGAAGAAAGGAAAGCAAAAGCACAGUUUUUGAAAUCCCUAAAGUGGGAGCCUUGGUGGUGGCCAUAGUUUGGUCAUGUGUUCUGGAGAGGAUGAAAGUGAAGAUGAGAAUGAUGAACUUAUGAAGAGAGUCAAUUCAAAGACGGAUAAAUGAUUUACCAUAAUAAACUCCCCCUUGCAAGGGCGUGUUAGAUUUAAGGAAUUGAUUCGACUGCAUACACAUUGGGAGCUACUGCAGCGGAUUGAACUUGUAAGGAAGGCACCAGUUUCUGGGUGUAAGAAGAUUUCAAACUGCCAUAGCUCCCAGAGAUAGGUGUGGCAUUCCCUGGAAUUAUCAAGAGUUUGUGAUAAGGGGGGGGGAGACGGUUGAUAGAAUGAGGAAGCGGAAAAUCUAGGUGGCUGCAUUUGUUGGUGCAUCUUGGUUGUUAAAUGUUUCUUCAUUGUUUAUGCUUGGAUUUGAGCCAUGAACUGAGGAAAAUCCUAAACCGUGUGGCUCUCUACCAAGUUCUAGGGGAGCUCUCACUUUCCAUUGCCGUAAAUACAGCUUUGGGGACUACAAAUAUGAUGAAGCAGCAUGCUGGUGAAUUUUGCUCCCUCAGUUGUUCAUCACGGUGCAAAAAUUAUUAUCCCCUGCAGGAUGAAGCUUGCAGUCAUCCUAAAGAGAAGACGGGGUCAUCAAUUUAAAGAGAAUUUUAGGCUUCUAUUCUUGUAUUUGGUUUUACUAACCUGCUCCACCGAUGAAUAGCACACUUCCUGUGUACCAUAUUAUUGUAAAUUUAUAUUACCUGCUUAACUUUCAAGUUUGUCAUAUUAAUUAGAUUCUUAUUACUUCUUCA